GAUGAACGCUAGCGGCGUGCCUAAUACAUGCAAGUCGAGCGAAUGGAUUAAGAGCUUGCUCUUAUGAAGUUAGCGGCGGACGGGUGAGUAACACGUGGGUAACCUGCCCAUAAGACUGGGAUAACUCCGGGAAACCGGGGCUAAUACCGGAUAACAUUUUGAACCGCAUGGUUCGAGAUUGAAAGGCGGCUUCGGCUGUCACUUAUGGAUGGACCCGCGUCGCAUUAGCUAGUUGGUGAGGUAACGGAUCACCAAGGCAACGAUGCGUAGCCGACCUAAGAGGGUGCGCGGCCACACUGGGACUGAGACACGGCCCAGACUCCUACGGGAGGCAGCAGUAGGGAAUCUUCCGCAAUGGACGAAAGUCUGACGGAGCAACGCCGCGUGAGUAAUGAAGGCUUUCGGGUCGUAAAACUCUGUUGUUAGGGAAGAACAAGUGCUAGUUGAAUAAGCUGGCACCUUGACGGUACCUAACCAGAAAGCCACGGCUAACUACGUGCCAGCAGCCGCGGUAA
rnacentral:rRNA from 1 species